rnacentral:lncRNA from 1 species
UAGGAAGAAUCUCGCUAUCAUCUCUCUCUCUUCUUCUAUAAUAUAUUUUGAUCCUAGGUAAUCCAGUUAUUUCUUAUGAUACAUCUGAAUAUACCAAAAGUAAAAUUGAGUUUAUAAGUAUCGUUAUAUGCAUUCAAAAAAAUAAGAGUAUAAUUAUUUGCAUACCACACAAAAUUGCGUAUUCACGAUGUCUGCAUUAAUGGCAGAUGCAACAGUGGG